AAAAGAAACAACAGACACAUUCGGGGAAUGAAAAUGACAAUGUUAAUGUUUCCUCUGAUGACUCUAGUAGAUCCCAAAGGCCAGCUAUUAGACGGUCAUUUCCUGUACUAUCUCGAAGGAGAAGGAAUAUUCCUUGGACAGAUGAAGAGGAGAAAAUUCUAGUGGAAGGAGUACGGAGAUUUUCAAGUACUUAUUCUAAAAAUUUACCAUGGAAGCAGAUCCUGGAAUUUGGUUGCCAUGUAUUUCAUAAAAGCCGUAACCCAGUUGACCUUAAGGAUAAAUGGAGGAACAUUUGCACCAAAGGAGAUCCAAGAGCUAGGUGAAAAUGAAGACCUGAUGUUGGAUGCUUGAGAUUGGAGAGCUCUACAUGUUCUCAGACGACAUCUCUAGACUUUAUCAUUUAUCUUCACUUUUGAGGGAAGGGGACUUUUGCUUCUUGACAAGGCACAAGCAGGUGGUUUUCUAGUGGAAAUUGCCUUCUCCAAUGGAGAUUAG